CGGGUGAGUAACACGUGAGCAAUCUGCCCCUGACUCUGGGAUAACAGCUGGAAACAGCUGCUAAUACCGGAUACGAGCUGCGAAGGCAUCUUCAGCAGCUGGAAAGAACUUCGGUCAGGGAUGAGCUCGCGGCCUAUCAGCUAGUUGGUGAGGUAAUGGCUCACCAAGGCGUCGACGGGUAGCCGGCCUGAGAGGGUGACCGGCCACACUGGGACUGAGACACGGCCCAGACUCCUACGGGAGGCAGCAGUGGGGAAUAUUGCACAAUGGGCGAAAGCCUGAUGCAGCAACGCCGCGUGAGGGACGACGGCCUUCGGGUUGUAAACCUCUUUUAGCAGGGAAGAAGCGAAAGUGACGGUACCUGCAGAAAAAGCACCGGCUAACUACGUGCCAGCAGCCGCGGUAAUACGUAGGGUGCAAGCGUUAUCCGGAAUUAUUGGGCGUAAAGAGCUCGUAGGCGGUUUGUCGCGUCUGCUGUGAAAACUGGAGGCUCAACCUCCAGCCUGCAGUGGGUACGGGCAGACUAGAGUGCGGUA
rnacentral:rRNA from 1 species